rnacentral:rRNA from 1 species
CAGCAGUGGGGAAUAUUGCACAAUGGGGGAAACCCUGAUGCAGCGACGCCGCGUGGAGGAAGAAGGUCUUCGGAUUGUAAACUCCUGUUGUUGAGGAAGAUAAUGACGGUACUCAACAAGGAAGUGACGGCUAACUACGUGCCAGCAGCCGCGGUAAAACGUAGGUCACAAGCGUUGUCCGGAAUUACUGGGUGUAAAGGGAGCGCAGGCGGGAAGACAAGUUGGAAGUGAAAUCCAUGGGCUCAACCCAUGAACUGCUUUCAAAACUGUUUUUCUUGAGUAGUGCAGAGGUAGGCGGAAUUCCCGGUGUAGCGGUGGAAUGCGUAGAUAUCGGGAGGAACACCAGUGGCGAAGGCGGCCUACUGGGCACCAACUGACGCUGAGGCUCGAAAGUGUGGGUAGCAAACAGGAUUAGAUACCCUGGUAGUCCACACCGUAAACGAUGAUUACUAGGUGUUGGAGGAUUGACCCCUUCAGUGCCGCAGUUAACACAAUAAGUAAUCCACCUGGGGAGUACGACCGCAAGGUUGAAACUCAAAGGAAUUGACGGGGGCCCGCACAAGCAGUGGAGUAUGUGGUUUAAUUCGACGCAACGCGAAGAACCUUACCAAGUCUUGACAUCCUGCGACGGUGCUGGAAACAGUACUUUCCUUCGGGACGCAGAGACAGGUGGUGCAUGGUUGUCGUCAGCUCGUGUCGUGAGAUGUUGGGUUAAGUCCCGCAACGAGCGCAACCC